rnacentral:misc_RNA from 1 species
AAAAAAAAAAAAAAAAGUAAUGCCCCAAAAUUGAAUUUUUGGUUUGAUGCAUUUAAUUUUUCAUAUCAAAUUUUCUGCAACUGAUGAAGCUAAGGCCAAAGAAAAUUAAUAAAACAGCAACACCCUGCUACUAAUCAUAACCUAUGUACAAUUUGAGCAGAAGAUCAAAAAUUCUUUAAGAAAAGCACAUUUGCUGAAUAUGUUACUAAGAAUUCAUUGAUUGAAUUGCAGUCUCAGAUCCAGAUCAAUCAAAAUAAUGAGCAACAAACACACUAAAACCUCAACACAAUUUCAGAAAACAAAAUAUAGAAAUGAAAAAGAAGAUGAAGGAAGAGGAG